UUUAGACCUCAAAUCAGGUGGGACUACCCGCUGAACUUAAGCAUAUCAAAACGUGCAAGGGCGCAUCAAUUCGGGGUGGGGACCUACCCGCUGAACCUUAACGCAUAUCAAUAAGCCCGAGAGAGAA
rnacentral:rRNA from 1 species